rnacentral:misc_RNA from 1 species
GAUGAAGAACGCAGCGAAAUGCGAUAAUUAAUGUGAAUUGCAGAAUUCAGUGAAUCAUCGAAUCUUUGAACGCACAUUGCGCCCGCUAGUAUUCUGGCGGGCAUGCCUGUCCGAGCGUCAUUUCAACCCUCAAGCCCCCGGGCUUGGUGUUGGGGAUCGGCGAGCCUCCGCGCCCGCCGUCCCCUAAAUCUAGUGGCGGUCUCGCUGUAGCUUCCUCUGCGUAGUAGCACACCUCGCACUGGGAAACAGCGCGGCCACGCCGUUAAACCCCCAACUUCUGAACGUUUGACCUCGGAUCAGGUAGGAAUACCCGCUGAACUUAAGCAUAUCAAUAAGCGGAGGA